rnacentral:rRNA from 1 species
GUGCAGCAGUCGAGAAACCUUCGCAAUGCGGGAAACCGCGACGAGGGACUCCCAGUGCCUACGCUCAGCGUAGGCUGUUCCCGAGCCUAGAAAGCUCGGGGAGUAAGGGCUGGGUAAGACGGGUGCCAGCCGCCGCGGUAAUACCGCAGCCCGAGUGGUGGCCACUAUUAUUGGGCCUAAAGCGUCCGUAGCCGGCCCGGUAAAUGCCUGGGUAAAUCGUGAGGCCUAACCUCACGAAUUCCGGGUAGACUGCCGGGCUAGGGGACCGGAGGAGGGAGAGGGUACUCCAGGGGUAGGGGUGAAAUCCUGUAAUCCCUGGAGGACCACCGGUGGCGAAGGCGCUCUCCUAGGACGGGUCCGACGGUGAAGGACGAAAGCCAGGGGAGCGAACCGGAUUA